UUAAAUUGAGAGUUUGAUCCUGGCUCAGGACGAACGCUGGCGGCGUGCCUAACACAUGCAAGUCGAGCGAUGCGAUCCUUCGGGGUCAAUUAGCGGCGGACGGGUGAGUAACACGUGGGUAACCUGCCUCAAAGAGGGGAAUAGCCUCCCGAAAGGGAGAUUAAUACCGCAUAAUAUGUUUUGAUCGCAUGAUCUUAACAUCAAAGGAAUUUUUCGGAAUUUCRCUUUGAGAUGGACCCGCGGCGCAUUAGCUAGUUGGUGAGGUAAAGGCCCACCAAGGCAACGAUGCGUAGCCGACCUGAGAGGGUGAUCGGCCACAUUGGAACUGAGACACGGUCCAGACUCCUACGGGAGGCAGCAGUGGGGAAUAUUGCGCAAUGGGGGAAACCCUGACGCAGCAACGCCGCGUGAAUGAUGAAGGCCUUCGGGUUGUAAAGUUCUGUCUUCUGGGACGAUAAUGACGGUACCAGAGG
rnacentral:rRNA from 1 species